CCUUGGGUCUGGCUGACCGGUCCGCCUCACCGCGAGUACUGGUCCGGCUGGACCUUUCCUUCUGGGGAACCCCAUGGCCUUCACUGGCCGUGGGUGGGAACCAGGACUUUUACUGUGAAAAAAUUAGAGUGUUCAAAGCAGGCCUUUGCUCGAAUACAUUAGCAUGGAAUAAUAGAAUAGGACGUGCGGUUCUAUUUUGUUGGUUUCUAGGACCGCCGUAAUGAUUAAUAGGGAUAGUCGGGGGCGUCAGUAUUCAGCUGUCAGAGGUGAAAUUCUUGGAUUUGCUGAAGACUAACUACUGCGAAAGCAUUCGCCAAGGAUGUUUUCAUUAAUCAGGCAACGAAAGUUAGGGGAUCGAAGACGAUCAGAUACCGUCGUAGUCUUAACCAUAAACUAUGCCGACUAGGGAUCGGGCGGUGUUUCUAUUAUGACCCGCUCGGCACCUUACGAGAAAUCAAAGUUUUUGAGUUCUGGGGGGAGUAUGGUCGCAA
rnacentral:rRNA from 1 species